rnacentral:rRNA from 1 species
GAUGAACGCUGGCGGCGUGCCUAAUACAUGCAAGUCGAGCGAACAGACGAGGAGCUUGCUCCUCUGACGUUAGCGGCGGACGGGUGAGUAACACGUGGAUAACCUACCUAUAAGACUGGGAUAACUUCGGGAAACCGGAGCUAAUACCGGAUAAUAUAUUGAACCGCAUGGUUCAAUAGUGAAAGACGGUUUUGCUGUCACUUAUAGAUGGAUCCGCGCCGCAUUAGCUAGUUGGUAAGGUAACGGCUUACCAAGGCAACGAUGCGUAGCCGACCUGAGAGGGUGUACGGCCACACUGGAACUGAGACACGGUCCAGACUCCUACGGGAGGCAGCAGUAGGGAAUCUUCCGCAAUGGGCGAAAGCCUGACGGAGCAACGCCGCGUGGGUGAUGAAGGUCUUCGGAUCGUAAAACUCUGUUAGUAGGGAAGAACGAAUGUGUAAGUAACUAUGCACGUCUUGACGGUACCUAAUCAGAAAGCCACGGCUAACUACGUG